rnacentral:rRNA from 1 species
UCGAGAAUCUUUCGCAAUGCCCGAAAGGGUGACGAAGCGACGCCGCGUGCGGGAGGAAGGCCUUCGGGUUGUAAACCGCUGUCGGGAGUUAAGAAAUGCAAGGAUGUUAAUAGCGUUCUUGCUUGACUAAGGCUCCGGAGGAAGCCACGGCUAACUCUGUGCCAGCAGCCGCGGUAAUACAGAGGCGGCAAGCGUUGUUCGGAAUUAUUGGGCGUAAAGAGCACGUAGGCGGCUGUGUAAGUCGGUUGUGAAAGCCUUCCGCUCAACGGAAGAACGGCAUCCGAUACUGCAUGGCUUGAGUGUGGGAGGGGAGAGUGGAACUUCUGGUGGAGUGGUGAAAUACGUAGAUAUCUGGAAGAACACCAGUGGCGAAGGCGGUCUCUUGGUCCUAUACUGACGCUAAGGCGCGAAAGCGUGGGGAGCAAACAGGAUUAGAUACCCUAGUAGUCCCUGAGCGGGCUGGCAAGGCGCAU